GUAAGGGUUCGGUCUGCCUCCGCUACGUUCUCAUUGGAUAGAGUGAGGAGAUUUGUGGGCGUGAAUCGGUCCCUCCUCCUACAAACCCACUGUCGGAUGCCAGGAGGACAAGGCGAGCCUUGAUUCAAGGAGUAUUUAAGGUAAAAGCCAAGCACCUGAGGGUACACCAGCACAGACGGUUUCACCAUCAACUGAGAAUGUAGAUAUCAGAUGCUGAGAGGCUCAAGUCUACAACAGAGAGUAUGGCUGCAUGCAUGAUGAGUUCUCAGAGCAAUGACUGCUCGUCUCAUCUGGGGGACUGCACAGUGAAGACAAGCAAUGGCUGGAUGCCCACAUUCUCAGACACGUGGACCAACUGGUGGUGCAUGU